GAAGGUGUGCUGUGAGGCAUGCUGGAGGUAUCAGAAGUGCGAAUGCUGACAUAAGUAACGAUAAAGCGGGUGAAAAGCCCGCUCGCCGGAAGACCAAGGGUUCCUGUUCAACGUUAAUCGGAGCAGGGUGAGUCGACCCCUAAGGCGAGGCCGAAAGGCGUAGUCGAUGGGAAACAGGUUAAUAUUCCUGUACUCGGUGUUACUGCGAAGGGGGGACGGAGAAGGCUAUAUCAGCCGGGCGACGGUUGUCCCGGUUUAAGCGUGUAGGCGGAGGGUCCAGGUAAAUCCGGUCCCUUAU
rnacentral:rRNA from 1 species